UGGCUUUGGGGAGUCGGAAACGACACCUUAUUGCCGAGAAGUUGAUCAAACUUGGUCGUUUAGAGGAAGUAAAAGUCGUAACAAGGUUUCCGUAGGUGAACCUGCGGAAGGAUCAUUACAGUAUGAUUAGAGGGGUUUGAUGCUGGCUUUUAACUAAGCAUGUGCGCACCCUUCGACUUCAAUCCACAUACACCUGUGCACCCUUGGCGAGUCAGUCUCCCAGCUGCAAAGUUGCGUCCUUGUGAAUUUAUUCGCUUGGAAUUGGGGCUGCUUGUCAUAACACAUACAUUAAUACCAGUUUAUAACGCAUGUUUAUUUGCUCUACGGAGCUUUAACAAAAUACAACUUUCAACAACGGAUCUCUUGGCUUUCGCAUCGAUGAAGAACGCCGCGAACGUGCGAAACGUAAUGUGAAUUGCAGAAUUCAGUGAAUCAUCGAAUCUUUGAACGCAUCUUGCGCUCCUUGGUAUUCCGAGGAGCAUGCCUGUUUGAGUGUCGUGAAUACUCUCAAUCUUAAGUCUUUUUUUACGAGAAGGCCUUAGGGUUGGAUUUGGAUGUUGCUGCGAUUUUAUUGCGGCUCGUCUCGAAAUGCAUUAGCUGGUCCACCUCGGUCUUAACAAACGGUGUGAUAAGAAACAUUCAUUUGUGACUGUAGCGCUGCUGUUAUAGACUGGUGAAAGGACUGCUUCUAAUCGUCUUCGGACAAUUUUCAUGUCAUCUGACCUCAAAUCAGGUAGGACUACCCGCUGAACUUAAGCAUAUCAAUAAGCGGAGGAAAAGAAACUAACAAGGAUUCCCCUAGUAACGGCGAGUGAAGCGGGAAGAGCUCAAAUUUAAAAUCUGGCGGCCUAAGGUCGUCCGAGUUGUAGUCUAGAGAGGUGUUUUCCGUGCUGGACCGUGUACAAGUCCCUUGGAACAGGGC
rnacentral:rRNA from 1 species